ACGUCAGCAGCACAUUUAACUUAUAUAUCAUAACCAAAUUCUUCAUUCCCCCCUCACCUCAGAAACUACCACCAAGGAAUGCCAUGGAUACUGAAUAGAAAGGCUUUGGACAACUGUAAUGAAAAAUGGAAAACCAUAAAGCAUUAAAACAGUUCAUUGUGCUACUUCUCUCUGUCUACUGACUCAUUCAGAAAGCCUCAACUACUGAGAAGUACCACAGGAAAAACAACAAAUCUAGAGUAUAGUACAAAACUUAUUUCUUUUUGGAACUUAUGAUUUAGGAAAUCUAAUAAAGUGUCUGUGACCAAU
rnacentral:lncRNA from 1 species